UACGGAGGGGGCUAGCGUUGUUCGGAAUUACUGGGCGUAAAGCGCGCGUAGGCGGCUUUGUAAGUCAGACGUGAAAUCCCCCGGCUUAACCUGGGAACUGCGUCUGAUACUGGAAGGCUUGAGUAUGGGAGAGGGAUGUAGAAUUCCAGGUGUAGCGGUGAAAUGCGUAGAUAUUGGGAGGAACACCAGUGGCGAAGGCGGCUCACUGGACCGGAACUGACGCUGAGGCGCGAAAGCGUGGGGAGCAAACAGG
rnacentral:rRNA from 1 species